rnacentral:rRNA from 1 species
AAGCUCAAAGUUGGAACCUGGCUGUCUUAGAUAGUCCGGAUUGUAAACUAAAGAGCGUGAAUCCAGGCAAGCCGGUUGAUCAAGUCCUUUGGAAUGAGGCGCCACUGAGGGUGAGAGCCCCGUAAAUCGACUGAGCAUUUGUCUUUUGUGUUUCGCGUUCAAAGAGUCAGGUUGUUUGGGAAUGCAGCCUAAAGCUGGUGGUAAAUCCCACCUAAAGCUAAAUACAGGCGAGAGACCGAUAGCGAACAAGUACCGUGAGGGAAAGAUGAAAAGUACUUUGAAAAGAGAGUUAAACAGUAUGUGAAAUUGCCAAGAGGGAAGCAUUUGGAGUUAGACUGACUUGAAGUUAAUCAGCUUGGUCUUUGGACUGGGUGUACUUGACUUCUAUGUCUGCCAAUAGCAGUUAGUCCUGGUGGAAAAAACUGAAGGGAAGGUAGUCCUUCGGGAUGUUUAUAGACCUUUGGAAAAUACACUGGGAUUGACUGAGGAAUGCAGUAGAUGCUAUUAAGGCUUCGUCUAGUAGGUGUUAGGUGAAGGUACUUGGUAUUUUCAGCUUGCUGAUGUGCUAGGUUACUUGAGCUUAAUUGCU